UUAUUAUUGGAUGAUGACUGUCACGUAUCAGGUUCGUUCUAAUUAGAUGUAAACUCCAUGAAAGAUGAAAUACAUUGUUGUUUUUAUUGAUCAAUCAAAACAUGAUACAUAACAAUCAUCAUCC
rfam:Glycine soja cultivar W05 scaffold2476_71, whole genome shotgun sequence.